CCUACGGGGGGCUGCAGUGGGGAAUAUUGGACAAUGGGCGAAAGCCUGAUCCAGCCAUGCCGCGUGUGGGAAGAAGGCCUUCGGGUUGUAAAGCACUUUCAGUGGGGAAGAAAGCCUUGGGGCUAAUACCCUCGAGGAAGGACAUCACCCACAGAAGAAGCACCGGCUAACUCCGUGCCAGCAGCCGCGGUAAUACGGAGGGUGCGAGCGUUAAUCGGAAUUACUGGGCGUAAAGCGCGCGUAGGCGGUCUGAUAAGCCGGUUGUGAAAGCCCCGGGCUCAACCUGGGAACGGCAUCCGGAACUGUCAGGCUAGAGUGCAGGAGAGGAAGGUAGAAUUCCCGGUGUAGCGGUGAAAUGCGUAGAGAUCGGGAGGAAUACCAGUGGCGAAGGCGGCCUUCUGGACUGACACUGACGCUGAGGUGCGAAAGCGUGGGUAGCAAACAGGAUUAGAUACCCGAGUAGUC
rnacentral:rRNA from 1 species